rnacentral:rRNA from 2 species
GCGUAGAGAUGUGGAGGAACACCAGUGGCGAAGGCGACUCUCUGGUCUGUAACUGACGCUGAGGAGCGAAAGCGUGGGGAGCGAACAGGAUUAGAUACCCUGGUAGUCCACGCCGUAAACGAUGAGUGCUAAGUGUUAGGGGGUUUCCGCCCCUUAGUGCUGCAGCUAACGCAUUAAGCACUCCGCCUGGGGAGUACGGUCGCAAGACUGAAACUCAAAGGAAUUGACGGGGGCCCGCACAAGCGGUGGAGCAUGUGGUUUAAUUCGAAGCAACGCGAAGAACCUUACCAGGUCUUGACAUCCUCUGACAAUCCUAGAGAUAGGACGUCCCCUUCGGGGGCAGAGUGACAGGUGGUGCAUGGUUGUCGUCAGCUCGUGUCGUGAGAUGUUGGGUUAAGUCCCGCAACGAGCGCAACCCUUGAUCUUAGUUGCCAGCAUUCAGUUGGGCACUCUAAGGUGACUGCCGGUGACAAACCGGAGGAAGGUGGGGAUGACGUCAAAUCAUCAUGCCCCUUAUGACCUGGGCUACACACGUGCUACAAUGGACAGAACAAAGGGCAGCGAAACCGCGAGGUUAAGCCAAUCCCACAAAUCUGUUCUCAGUUCGGAUCGCAGUCUGCAACUCGACUGCGUGAAGCUGGAAUCGCUAGUAAUC